CUUGGUCAUGUGGGAGGAUGGUUUGUGCCAAUGUACGGAGCGGGUCGCCUCGAGAGCAAAAACGUGGGCGAGUAUGAAAUCGCUGCAAGGCUGGCUCUGCAAGCCGGCUUUCCUCACUUUGUUGACGAGCUCUUGCAUAUGGCCGAGGUCGAGUGGGAUCACGAGGCCUACUUUUGGGCCAAGUGUGAAGCGCAUUGGCUAGUGCGUGUGUUUCCUCGUUGGCGUCGUCCAGGAGCGCGAGAUUCUAUUCGU
rnacentral:misc_RNA from 1 species